rnacentral:rRNA from 1 species
CCUACGGGCGGCUGCAGUGGGGAAUAUUGGACAAUGGGCGAAAGCCUGAUCCAGCCAUGCCGCGUGUGUGAAGAAGGCCUUCGGGUUGUAAAGCACUUUCAGUGGGGAAGAAAGCCUUGGGGCUAAUACCCUCGAGGAAGGACAUCACCCACAGAAGAAGCACCGGCUAACUCCGUGCCAGCAGCCGCGGUAAUACGGAGGGUGCGAGCGUUAAUCGGAAUUACUGGGCGUAAAGCGCGCGUAGGCGGUCUGAUAAGCCGGUUGUGAAAGCCCCGGGCGCAACCUGGGAACGGCAUCCGGAACUGUCAGGCUAGAGUGCAGGAGAGGAAGGUAGAAUUCCCGGUGUAGCGGUGAAAUGCGUAGAGAUCGGGAGGAAUACCAGUGGCGAAGGCGGCCUUCUGGACUGACACUGACGCUGAGGUGCGAAAGCGUGGGUAGCAAACAGGAUUAGAUACCCUAGUAGUC